rnacentral:lncRNA from 1 species
GCAGUGUUUGCAGCACCUUCAAGGAAAACGGGGGAGGGUAGUUUAAAAAGUCCGUAACAGCCCAGCCGCCCAACAUGGGAGGAUUCUGAAAAGGCAGACUGCAGAGGCAGGCGGGCUGGAGUCGAAUCUUUCCCUCCUUGUCCCCUGCCCCCGUCGCGCUCCCCGCACCCCCCGACCGGGCCCGCCGCCCCCUGGGCUGGGAAACAAGCGUAGGAGGCCAGGAGGACACCCGCGCUCCGCGCUCGGGCUCAGCCCAAUCCGGCAAGUCGGGGCGGGCAGCUCGGCAAGGUCUCUCCAGGUCUCCGUGACGCCCUUGACUCACGAGAGUCCCUUACAGUAAAGGUGACUCACUCACAGGUCGCCGACCCAACCCGAGGAUUCCCCAAGAAACGCCGGCGGCCUUGCCCCUGGGCCCCCAGGAGCCGGUGCGCGCUAUGAGCCACUCUGGCCCAUAGGUGUGUCUGCUGCUGCUGCUGCUGCGUCGGCCGUCGGUGGCGAGCGGCCACGUAGGCCCCAGCUGCACCGAGGGAGGCUGGCGGGUGCAGUCUGGGCCGUAACCUCCGCGGGGUCGGGGGCGGGCGGGUGCCACCCACUGCCCUAGGCCUGCGCAGGAGGCGAGGGCCAGAAGCUGCCGGGCGGCUCAGACCGUCCGCCCUCUAUUUCCUAUCUCCGUUGUCAUGCCUGUAUCUUUUGCCAAGUGUGUGACUGCUCUAUUCCGACUGCUUUUUCUACAGAAAAAGCCCCGAGGACGGGAUUAGACUUCGAGUAUCUGGCUCCCUAGUUGAUGCUCCUCAGGCCUGUGCGCCGUCAUCAUGCCCCCGACCCGCAGGUACCCUGGCGGCGCGCACUUCUGCAGCCCCUACGCCGCCCAGGUCCAGUGGCGCUCGCGUGGAGCCAACCUGCGUGGCCCAGUAGCACCUUCGCUGGCGCCUGCACCCGUGCACCCUACACCCGCAGGCGCGGGCUCCAAGCCUCCAGCUUGGAAACCGAUAACCGCCCCCACCCCGAGCCUUUCACCGCAAACGGCUUUGCCUUGGGCUUCUGCAGGGACCCAGCGCGGGUGGCAAGUCCUGACAGCGAGGGCCAGGGCCCGGGAGACUGCUGCUCACCUCAAUAA